UAGGGAAUCUUCGGCAAUGGGGGGAACCCUGACCGAGCAACGCCGCGUGAGUGAAGAAGGUUUUCGGAUCGUAAAGCUCUGUUGUUAAGGAAGAACGAGUGUGAGAAUGGAAAGUUCAUACUGUGACGGUACUUAACCAGAAAGGGACGGCUAACUACGUGCCAGCAGCCGCGGUAAUACGUAGGUCCCGAGCGUUGUCCGGAUUUAUUGGGCGUAAAGCGAGCGCAGGCGGUUAGAAAAGUCUGAAGUGAAAGGCAGUGGCUCAACCAUUGUAGGCUUUGGAAACUGUUUAACUUGAGUGCAGAAGGGGAGAGUGGAAUUCCAUGUGUAGCGGUGAAAUGCGUAGAUAUAUGGAGGAACACCAGUGGCGAAGGCGACUUUCUGGUCUGUAACUGACGCUGAUGUGCGAAAGCGUGGGGAUCAAACAGG
rnacentral:rRNA from 1 species